CAGCCGCCACGGUAAUACGUAGGGUGCGAGCGUUAAUCGGAAUUACUGGGCGUAAAGCGUGCGCAGGCGGUUGUGUAAGACAGGUGUGAAAUCCCCGGGCUUAACCUGGGAACUGCGCUUGUGACUGCACGGCUAGAGUAUGGCAGAGGGGGGUGGAAUUCCACGUGUAGCAGUGAAAUGCGUAGAGAUGUGGAGGAACACCGAUGGCGAAGGCAGCCCCCUGGGCCAAUACUGACGCUCAUGCACGAAAGCGUGGGGAGCAAACAGGAUUAGAUACCCCUGUAGUCCCUGUCUCUUAUAC
rnacentral:rRNA from 1 species